rnacentral:rRNA from 1 species
GUGUCAGCAGCCGCGGUAAAACGUAGGUUCCGAGCGUUAUCCGGAUUUACUGGGCGUAAAGCGCGUUCAGGCGGUUGGGCAAGUCGGGCAUGAAAUCUCUGGGCUCAACCUGGAGAGGUUGUCCGAUACUGCCGAACUGGAGGGCAGUAGAGGGUGGUGGAAUUCCGGGUGUAGUGGUGAAAUGCGUAGAGAUCCGGAGGAACACCAGUGGCGAAAGCGGCCACCUGGACUGCACCUGACGCUGAAACGCGAAAGCUAGGGGAGCGAACGGGAUUAGAAACCCCGGUAGUCC